rnacentral:lncRNA from 1 species
GCCCUGACUCCCCCACCCUGCAGCUCGUGGCUCUCCCUGCUCUCCCGCUCUGCUGCUGGCAGCCGGAUCCAGAUCUGCUCUGUUCUGAGCGCUUUGUUCUAUACUCUGUUUCAGGGGCUGGCUGAACUUUGCUUUCGAUAACGUCUUCAAAACUCAGUCAGCAAAUGGAGUUCAAUAAUAUCAUAGGGCAGUUGGAAUUACCAGAUGUUUAUAAAACGGUCUAUCCAGCAGAUAAGAAAACACAUUCUUCUCAGUGCCCCAUGGAGCUAUCCAUCAAACUUGUAAGGUAGACCAACAGCGGUACUUCCCAACCUGUUCUACAGAAUAGAAAGUGAAAGUACUUGUUCUGUAAAGCUGGUUUUACCCUGAUAUCAACACCACAUAGGGGCAGAACAAAGAGAAGAACUGCAGAUCGUUUAAUCUGAUGAACGUAAAUGUAAAAAUUUUCAACAAAACAUUUGCAAACUGAAUUCAAGAAUACUUCAAGAAAAAAAAAAAUCACAUCACUACCAAGUUGGUUUCAUUCCAAGGUUGUAGGACGGUGCAUCUGUGACUUUAUGAUGAUGCAAAAAAGGCCUUUACCGGAGUUUUGGCAGUUCUAGACAAAGGAGAGACAGAAGGAACAUCAUUAGCGUGGUAGACUGUGUGCCGUGAGUGUGUGGUCAACAUUGCACUAACACUCAGAAACGAGGCAGAUUUUCUCUGAUGUCAUACUUGAGCUCUUACCCAGAGCACCAGGAAAGAGCAGAAAAUUAAAAGACUGUAAUAGGACAUAUCAUGCUGACCUGUUUGUACAUGAUGUGGUCCUACGUGUAAGGCAUCCUGUGCGCUCCAGCAAACUUGGAGGACUAAUGUGUAUUUUAGGAAAGUCUCAGGACACAAAUUCAGUGGGAUCUCUGUACCAGUGGUGAACUUGCUGGGAAAGUGCCCACUCUUCAUACUUAGCAAUA